rnacentral:hammerhead_ribozyme from 1 species
AUCCAGCUGACGAGUCCUAAACGGGGCGAAACGCGUGUUCUGAGAU